rnacentral:sRNA from 1 species
UUCUUCACUCUCUUCUUCAGACUCGGAGC